AUGGGGCACUUUGGAGAGCACCUGACAGAACCCUCCUAUGACCAUAAUACCGCUCUCCACUGGACUUACGUGCACAAUCCACACAAGGCAGAUAAACCCGAAGAGCAGGACAGGAUCAAUCACGGUGGUGUCCAAGGCAAGUCUCAGCCAGAACUAGGACAACCCUUCAGCAGCCUGAAGAGUUGGAGCUUCCGGAUCUCUGGCAAUAGAGAGGCAAGGAAGAUUUUUGAGCUAGGAAAUGCAAUGGAAUUGGAUCAGCACUGUGAAAAAUGAAGAUGACUCAAAGAAACAUAGGAUCACUAAAAACCCAGUUGAAAAAUUCUGUUCUGAAGGAAACCUUUCCUGGUCUUCCAACUACUUGGUGCCUUUUCCCCCUCCACCCCACCCUCAUCUUCUGCUACCUUAUAUCAUUUUAUAUAGAAUCAGUCAGUCAAUAAAUAUUAUUAAAAACCUACUAUGUCA
rnacentral:lncRNA from 1 species